AUUGAACGCUGGCGGCAGGCCUAACACAUGCAAGUCGAGCGGAUGACGGGAGCUUGCUCCUUGAUUCAGCGGCGGACGGGUGAGUAACGCCUAGGAAUCUGCCUGGUAGUGGGGGACAACGUUUCGAAAGGAACGCUAAUACCGCAUACGUGCUACGGGAGAAAGCAGGGGACCUUCGGGCCUUGCGCUAUCAGAUGAGCCUAGGUCGGAUUAGCUAGUUGGUGGGGUAAUGGCUCACCAAGGCGACGAUCCGUAACUGGUCUGAGAGGAUGAUCAGUCACACUGGAACUGAGGCACGGUCCAGACUCCUACGGGAGGCAGCAGUGGGGAAUAUUGGACAAUGGGCGAAAGCCUGAUCCAGCCAUGCCGCGUGUGUGAAGAAGGUCUUCGGAUUGUAAAGCACUUUAAGUUGGAGGAAGGGCAGUAAGUUAAUACCUUGCUGUUUUGACGUUACCGACAGAAUAAGCACCGGCUAACUCUGUGCCAGCAGCCGCAGUAAGAC
rnacentral:rRNA from 1 species